UUCAACUUGAAAAAAAAAAAACAUAUAGCCUAGUAACAGUAACAUAUAGCCAUACAGUAAAUCUACAGUAUUCUGUAGAGCUGCCUCUCAGUUUGAACUAUCAUACAUAAAGAACAAGAGAAAAACUGCA